UACGUAGGUGGCAAGCGUUGUCCGGAAUUAUUGGGCGUAAAGCGCGCGCAGGCGGCUUCUUAGGUCUGAUGUGAAAGCCCACGGCUCAACCGUGGAGGGUCAUUGGAAACUGGGGAGCGUGAGUACAGAAGAGGAGAGUGGAAUUCCAUGUGUAGCGGUGAAAUGCGUAGAUAGAUGGAGGAACACCAGUGGCGAAGGCGGCUCUCUGGUCCGAUACUGACGCUGAGGUGCGAAAGCGUGGGGAGCAAACAGG
rnacentral:rRNA from 1 species